UUCACAGUCCUCUAUUUUUGAAAUGAUGAAUAAGACACCUAUUGAAGAUCAACUGUUUACCCCUGAAUUGACUUUCAAAGACCAUGCAUUAUCCAGAUGGUAUUUCACAGUCCUCUAUUUUAUGAACUGAUGAAUAAGACACCUAUUGAAGAUCAACUGUUUACCCCUGAAUUGACUUUCAAAGACCAUGCAUUAUCCAGAUGGUAUUUCACAGUCCUCUAUUUUAUGAACUGAUGAAUAAGACACCUAUUGAAGAUCAACUGUUUACCCCUGAAUUGACUUUCAAAG